rnacentral:rRNA from 1 species
CCUACGGGUGGCAGCAGUGGGGAAUAUUGCACAAUGGGGGAAACCCUGAUGCAGCGACGCCGCGUGGGUGAAGAAGUAUCUCGGUACGUAAAGCCCUAUCAGCAGGGAAGAAAAUGACGGUAUCUGACUAAGAAGCACCGGCUAACUACGUGCCAGCAGCCGCGGUAAUACGUAGGGGGCAAGCGUUAUCCGGAUUUACUGGGAGUAAAGGGAGCGUAGACGGGAGCACAAGUCAGAAGUGAAAUCCCAUGGCUUAACCACAGAACUGCUUUUGAAACUGUGCGGCUGGAGUGCAGGAGGGGUAGGCGGAAUUCCUGGUGUAGGGGUGAAAUGCGUAGAGAUGAGGAGGAAUACUGGUGGCGAAGGCGGCUUACUGGAAUGUAACUGACGUUGAGGCGCGAAAGCGUGGGGAGCAAACAGGAUUAGAUACCCGAGUAGUC